GGAGGAAAGCAGGGGAUCGCAAGACCUUGCGCUCAUUGAGCGGCCGAUGCCUGAUUAGCUAGUUGGUGAGGUAAAGGCUUACCAAGGCGACGAUCAGUAGCUGGUCUGAGAGGACGGCCAGCCACACUGGGACUGAGACACGGCCCAGACUCCUACGGGAGGCAGCAGUGGGGAAUUUUGGACAAUGGGGGAAUCCCUGAUCCAGCCAUGCCGCGUGAGUGAAGAAGGCCUUCGGGUUGUAAAGCUCUUUCAGCCGGAACGAAACGGUCACGGCUAAUACCUGUGACUACUGACGGUACCGGAAGAAGAAGCACCGGCUAACUACGUGCCAGCAGCCGCGGUAAUACGUAGGGUGCGAGCGUUAAUCGGAAUUACUGGGCGUAAAGCGUGCGCAGGCGGUUUUGUAAGUCAGAAGAGGAAAUCCCCGGGCUUAACCUGGGAACUGCGUUGUUAUAAGAGAGGCUAGAAGGGC
rnacentral:rRNA from 1 species